rnacentral:rRNA from 1 species
GAUGAACGCUGGCGGCGUGCCUAAUACAUGCAAGUAGAACGCUGAAGGAGGAGCUUGCUCUUCUGGAUGAGUUGCGAACGGGUGAGUAACGCGUAGGUAACCUGCCUGGUAGCGGGGGAUAACUAUUGGAAACGAUAGCUAAUACCGCAUGACAACAGUUAUUGCAUGAUAACUGUUUAAAAGGGGCAACUGCUCCACUACCAGAUGGACCUGCGUUGUAUUAGCUAGUUGGUGAGGUAACGGCUCACCAAGGCGACGAUACAUAGCCGACCUGAGAGGGUGAUCGGCCACACUGGGACUGAGACACGGCCCAGACUCCUACGGGAGGCAGCAGUAGGGAAUCUUCGGCAAUGGACGGAAGUCUGACCGAGCAACGCCGCGUGAGUGAAGAAGGGUUUCGGAUCGUAAAGCUCUGUUGUAAGAGAAGAACGAGUGUGAGAGUGGAAAGUUCACAAUGUGACGGUAUCUUACCAGAAAGGGACGGCUAACUACGUG